CUCCUUCCAAAAUGUUCCCAGUAACUCUCAAGCUUCUGCUCUAACACAUAAACUCUUCCACCUUUAUCCUAGAGGAUAGCAAACUCCAGCCUGUGGGCCAAAUUUAGUCUGAUGUCUUUUUUUUUUUUUUUAAAUGGACACCCCCACUGCAAAUGGAUGUUCCCAGGCCAGGGAUUGAAAACCAGCCACAACUGUGGCAACACUGGAUCUUUUACCCCACUACGCCAGCCCAGGGAUCAAACCCACACCUCUGCAGUGACCCAAGCCACCACAGUCAGAUUCUUAACCCACUGGGAUACAGUGGGAACCCCUAAUGUCUUUUUUGUACAGUCCUCAGGCUGAGAAUAAAUUUCACAUUUUUUAAGAUGGUUGGGGGGGAAAUCAAAAUAAAAAUCUUUGGUGACAUGUAAAUAUCAUAUGAAAUUAAAUUUCAGUGGCCACAAAGAGUUUUUAUUGGAACAUAGCUGCUCUCAUUCAAUUUUGUAUUGUAUGGCUGCUUUCAUGCUACAAUGGCAAGGAUCUCUAUGACUUCACAAAGCUGAAAAUAUAAGGGCUGACCUGUCUGUGUCCUGGAGGUCCAGGCACAACCCUGACAUCAGCCCUAACCUCCCUUUGUCUUGUUUCUUUCCAUCCUUUGCCCUUGAAUGUUUAGUUCUCCCCCCGCACAGGUGUUCUCAUGCCAGGACGACCUGAAGCUCCCCCUCUCCUCCUAGGCUCUAUCGCUAUGACUGCCUAUCCCACUGCCCUUUCCCUGUGCCCUCUGUCCCUGUCCACAGUAGUAAGGCCAUGCUUACCCCUCUUCUUCAAAGCUUUCUCUAGUUCUUCACCUUUACUCAAAAUCCUGGCUCUCCUCGGAAGAUGCCUCACAUCUGAGAGGCUCUUAGCUGGAGAAGGUAUAACCAAUGCCCACUCAACACUGAGUUUGAAAAAAAAAAAAAAAAGAUGGCAUUAUUCUUACACCCUCUGUCCCCACUUCUAAGUCACUGCUUCUUCACUUACCCAUCAAAACCUUUCCUUUUGGGCCAUGAUUUCUGGCUUCCCUCUUGCUCUUCCUAUCCCCGUCAUUAGACUCACUAUGGAUCUUGCACAUGCAGCAUUUUGGUACUUGGCUUGUAAAAUCCCUCUCCUAGUCACCCCAUUAUCAUUUAUUCAGGAUCCUAGUCUUAGAAUUGCUUUGCUUCCUCCUAAUGGAAAAGACUUCUCUCUACUCAAGCAAUCCUCAGAGUCCAUGGCAAUCAAUAGACGUCAAUGGCCCAGAACAGCUCUGCCCUACCAAUCUUAAACUCCAGAAAUCUUCACCUCUGACCAUAACUUGCUGCUCGUUUAGGUCUCUUGUUCUCUUAUUCCCAGGAUAUUUACUGGGCAGCGAUACUCCCAGCAUCCUCUGGUUUCGGUUUCUUCCCUAGCCAGCUUAGACCACACGCUCAUUAUCUCACCACUGCCUUCAUCUUUGACACCUUCUCUUUGCACUGAACAAAACUCCAAAGCUCCAGCCCAGCCAACUGAUAAGCACAGAAAGAAUACUUCAGAAAAGCUGUAUUUUGUAACCAUCAUAAUAAUUGACAUAUGCAAGGAUCAUCAAUAGAUGCUAAAACUUCUAGGUGGAAAUUGAAACAGGAUAUUUAGGUAGUUACAUAAUUUCCCAGGUUCUAUCUCCCCACAAAAUUACUGUUAAUUUUUUUUAUUCUUGUCUUUUUAGGACCACACCUGUGGCAUAUGGAGGUUCAGAAUCAUCCAGAGAACUUUUUUAAAACCUACCUGCCCACGACAAAACACAGACUGGGUGAAAAUAUUUGCAAACUACAUGUCUGUUAAAGGACUUAUACUCAGAUAACCAAAGAGUCCUCAAAACUAAAUAAGAAAACAAACAACUCAAUUUGAAAAAUGGGUCAAAGAUUUAAAUAGAUCAUUCACUGAAGGAGACAUACCCAUGGCAUAUAAGCAUAUGAAAAGAUGCUCAGCCUCAUUUGUCAUUAAGGAAAUAGAACUUAAGACAAGAUAUCACUACACAUGAAUUAGAACAGCUAAAAUUCCCAAAUCUGACAAUAUCAAAUUCUAGCAAGGAUGCAGAGCAAGAAUCUAUCACUGCUGCUGGGAAUGCAAAAUGGUAUACCCACUCUGGAAGACGGUUUGGCAGUUUGUUACAAUGCUAAACAGAGACCUACUGUGCCAUCCAGCCACUGCUGCCCUUGACACUGACCCAACUGACUGGAAAACUUACAACUGCACAAAAACACACACGUAAAAGUUUAUAGUAACUUCAUUCAUAAUCACAAAAAAUUGGAAGCAAGCAAGAUAUCCUUCAACAAAUAAAUGGAUAAACAAAUUGCAUCCAUACUACUACAUUCAUACUACAGAAUAUUACUCAGCUAUCAAAGGGGGAUGAACUACUAAUUCAUGCAACAACAUGGAAGAAUCUUAAAUCAUAUUGAUAAGUUAAAGGAUCCAGUUUCAAAAGACUGCAUAAUGUAUGAUUCCAUUCAUAUCACAUUUUGGAAAAGGGAACACUAUAAAGAUGAAAAACAAGUUAAACUCGCCAGAAGUUUUGGGAGGGAAGAGUACUGACUAGGUGAAGCACCAGAGAGUUCUUAGG
rnacentral:lncRNA from 1 species